GUGAAUCAUCGAAUCUUUGAACGCAAAUUGCACUCUUUGGUAUUCCGGAGAGUAUGCCUGUUUGAGGGUCAGUAAAAAUAAAAAUCGGAGUGGUUGAUGACUUUCGUGGUGACGUAGGGGAGUAGGGUCGUCGUGCUUUGGGUUAAGUGAUGUAAAAUUCUGCAUGUUUAUUUUGACCGUCUUUAAAU
rnacentral:misc_RNA from 1 species